rnacentral:lncRNA from 1 species
GACUUGAUCUACAGAUGCACAUUUUAAUUAGUAAGCAAAGAACGUACUUGUUGCUGAAUGAGAUUUAAGAGAUAAGUCCCAAUUACUAAGCAAGUUUAAAACUAGUUUGGGAUCUGACUUUUAUUGAUCUUAUCCACCAGAGUGGAAACAAUGUCUGUACAAAACCAAGUGUUUGUUGCUAUAACUUCUACAUCACGAUUAAAAUCCAAACAGGUUUUAAAAAACAGUCAAGUCAAUCAAAACCCACUACUUCAGAAUCAAUAGCUUCUUUGAAGCCACAGUAAUACUUAUAUAUAGUUAAGACUUGCAGGAAUUUGGUUGGUUGGAAGACUAAUUAAGCCUCCAACUUGCUCAAAUAAAAUCACAAAAAGGCAAAAUUGUGUUUUUCACAGAGAUACAGUCCACUGGAAUCACCAACAUUGGACAGCUGUUAAGACUAUUUAGAGUCCUGAGAUAAUAAGGAACCCAGGCAUCCUUAGACAGUCUUGUCCUUCCUUCCCAAUCAGCGAUUUGUGGAGGUGUGGAAGAACUCCACCACCCGCAAUGGUAGCCUUGACCAGAGAAUCCAAUUCUUCAUCUCCACGUAUAGCAAGUGGCGAGGGGUGAUACGCUUUACCUUUAAGUCUUCUGAUGCAUUUCCUGCCAACUCAAGUACCUCUGCUGUGAGGUUCUCCAGAAUGGCUGCGCUGUACAAAGCAGCCUAUCCGG